rnacentral:rRNA from 1 species
GAUGAACGUUGGCGGCGUGCCUAACACAUGCAAGUCGAACGGGAAGCCGAUUUCGGUCGGCAGAGAGUGGCGCACGGGUGCGUAACACGUAGCUCACCUGGCCCGAGGCGUGGGAUAACGCGCCGAAAGGCGUGCUAAUACCGCAUAAGCUCACGAUCUGUAGAGGGUUGCGAGAAAACACGAUUAGUGCUUCGGGAUGGGGCGU